GGCAAGGUGGCCGAGUGGUUAAGGCGUACGACUCAAGCGUUAGCUUAACUCAAAAUGAGUUCCUCUCUUCACGUUCAUCUUGAAGAUUUCGUAUGGAGCAAUCCUCCUGGGUUCGAAUCCCAGUCUUGUCA
rfam:Aspergillus versicolor CBS 583.65 unplaced genomic scaffold ASPVEscaffold_10, whole genome shotgun sequence.